rnacentral:tRNA from 1 species
UCUAAUAUGGCAGAAAUAAUGCAAUGAAUUUAAGCUUCAUAUAUAAAGAACACUCUUUUUUUAGAA